GAGGGGAGAUCAGAUCGAUGCGAAGGGGGAGAGCUCCAGAAGCUUCAGGGCUUCUGACCCCGUUUGGUGACUCGACGACCCGCAACGGAACCCGAUUGGAAAUCCUCCAUCCGGCCACGACGUGGUGAUGCACCGGUCUUAUAUUCGAUUCCUCUUCUUACUACGGUUCUACCUCCAGUCUUGUUUUGCUCGAUUGAUGGGAGAGGAAGGAGAGUCGAAGCUCGAAAGAUUCGGGUAAUCCGGCGGUUCGUCUACAUAGUCCGGCAACGGUAGGCUGUGCAUGAGUUGGUCUUUCCCCAGCUUUGGAGGGCGUUACCUCUCCUCUGUGUUGUUCGAAUAUGUGAAGCAGGAGGCAGAGAGCAUGGCUUUUGAGCCCAGCGUGAAGUGAAGCUGGAGACCAAAAUCAUGAGUAUCCAAGGUGCACAGUACGUGUAGUUCGAGUGUGUGAUCUGUGUAUCGACAAUAGUCUCAGUACGUAAGUACUAUGAAUAAUGUAAUAAGUUUGUAGGGUACGCUACAAAAGGUGAUUACAUUAUUGUAAGAAUCCAAACUCGUAUAAGUGUUUGAAACAAAAUAGGUUAUGCCAUUUUGUAGCAAAAAUUCUUCGCUCAAAUAGCAAAACCCUUUCUUGAAAUUAUAGAAUUUCACUCAAUGAGGUUGCUCCCUUA